UACAGAGGGGGCAAGCGUUGUUCGGAAUUAUUGGGCGUAAAGCGCGUGUAGGCGGCUUGGCAAGUCGGGUGUGAAAUCCCUCAGCUUAACUGAGGAAGUGCGCCCGAAACUGCCGAGCUUGAGUACCGGAGAGGGUGAAGGAAUUCCCCAAGUAGAGGUGAAAUUCGUAGAUAUGGGGAGGAACACCGGUGGCGAAGGCGGCCACCUGGACGGAUACUGACGCUGAGACGCGAAAGCGUGGGGAGCAAACAGG
rnacentral:rRNA from 1 species